rnacentral:rRNA from 1 species
AGCGAACGCUGGCGGCAGGCUUAACACAUGCAAGUCGAGCGGGCACUUCGGUGUCAGCGGCAGACGGGUGAGUAACACGUGGGAACGUACCCUUUGGUUCGGAAUAACGCUGGGAAACUAGCGCUAAUACCGGAUACGCCCUUUUGGGGAAAGGCUUGCUGCCGAAGGAUCGGCCCGCGUCUGAUUAGCUAGUUGGUGGGGUAAUGGCCUACCAAGGCGACGAUCAGUAGCUGGUCUGAGAGGAUGAUCAGCCACACUGGGACUGAGACACGGCCCAGACUCCUACGGGAGGCAGCAGUGGGGAAUAUGGGACAAGGGGCGCAAGCCUGAUCCAGCCAUGCCGCGUGAGUGAUGAAGGCCUUAGGGUGGUAAAGCUCUUUUGUCCGGGACGAUAAGGACGGUACCGGAAGAAGAAGCCCCGGCUAACUGCGU